AGUGAACGCUGGCGGCAGGCCUAAUACAUGCAAGUCGAACGGCAGCACAGUGGAGCUUGCUCCAUGGGUGGCGAGUGGCGGACGGGUGAGGAAUACAUGGGAAUCUGCCCAGUCGUGGGGGAUAACGUAGGGAAACUUACGCUAAUACCGCAUGCGCCCUUCGGGGGAAAGCCGGGGACCGUAAGGCCUGGCGCGAUUGGAUGAGCCCAUGUCGGAUUAGCUAGUUGGCGGGGUAACGGCCCACCAAGGCGACGAUCCGUAGCUGGUCUGAGAGGAUGAUCAGCCACACUGGAACUGAGACACGGUCCAGACUCCUACGGGAGGCAGCAGUAGGGAAUAUUGGACAAUGGGCGCAAGCCUGAUCCAGCCAUGCCGCGUGAGUGAAGAAGGCCCUCGGGUUGUAAAGCUCUUUUGUCCGGAAGAAAGCACUGGGUUAAUACCCCGGUGUCCUGACGGUACCGGAAGAAUAAGCACCGGCUAACUUCGUGCCAGCAGCCGAC
rnacentral:rRNA from 1 species